UGAGCUUGGGGACGUGUUGAUCCUCGGACCGGCACUGCGCGGUCGCCGAAGGGUCCCGACAUCAGGGGCACCGACGGUCCGAGGGGAGCGAGUGGCGAGACCGACCUCAGAACCG
rnacentral:ncRNA from 1 species